rnacentral:rRNA from 1 species
GAUGAACGCUGGCGGCGUGCCUAAUACAUGCAAGUCGAGCGAACGGACGAGAAGCUUGCUUCUCUGAUGUUAGCGGCGGACGGGUGAGUAACACGUGGAUAACCUACCUAUAAGACUGGGAUAACUUCGGGAAACCGGAGCUAAUACCGGAUAAUAUUUUGAACCGCAUGGUUCAAAAGUGAAAGACGGUCUUGCUGUCACUUAUAGAUGGAUCCGCGCUGCAUUAGCUAGUUGGUAAGGUAACGGCUUACCAAGGCAACGAUGCAUAGCCGACCUGAGAGGGUGAUCGGCCACACUGGAACUGAGACACGGUCCAGACUCCUACGGGAGGCAGCAGUAGGGAAUAUUCCGCAAUGGGCGAAAGCCUGACGGAGCAACGCCGCGUGAGUGAUGAAGGUCUUCGGAUCGUAAAACUCUGUUAUUAGGGAAGAACAUAUGUGUAAGUAACUGUGCACAUCUUAACGGUACCUAAUCAGAAAGCCACGGCUAACUACGUG